CACGUAGGGGGCGAGCGUUGUCCGGAUUUAUUGGGCGUAAAGAGCUCGUAGGCGGUUCACUAAGUCGGGUGUGAAACCUCCAGGCUCAACCUGGAGACGCCACCCGAUACUGUCAUGACUAGAGUCCGGUAGGGAGCGUGGAAUUCCUGUGUGAGCGGUGAAAUGCGCAGAUAUCAGGAGGAACACCAGCGGCGAAGGCGGCGCUCUGGGCCGGUACUGACGCUGAGGAGCGAAAGCGUGGUAGCAAACAGG
rnacentral:rRNA from 1 species